AACUAUUUGAAGCCGAGUCCGGUGCACAGACAAAGUGCCGGUACGGGGGACGAUUUACAUGGGGUGAAUAUUUGCUCGCAGGUGGAGCAGACUAGGGAGAACCUUCUUCCCGAACCCGUCAACUAACCUCGAAGGCUCAUUGAAGGAGGAUUA
rnacentral:sRNA from 2 species